UCUAGAAAAAUACCAUUAGAAUUGCUUACGAAAUAGAUGACACGGAAAAGCAGGAACUGUCCUCGCUAUGCCACUGACCUUGAUAAGUGUCAAGUUUGGUCGUUAAUGCGCGGCAGACAUAACAUCAGUUACUGGAUUUUAGGCUCGUGUAAGGGCCAACGAAUGCCAUGAGAAUUCGAAAACCCCGCGGACUUUCCUCACCGACAAUUUUCCUUGGAUGCGCAUUAGGCUUUGCUGCUACCUAUUAUACAUGGUAUCCACUCAUUCAAGCUCAAAACGAACUUUCUCAUGAAAAAAAAACUAUCGCAGAUAAGAUAGGAAAGGAGCUACAGGAAAAGAAGACCGUGGCUGCUGCUUCUGCGACGCUUAACGAAAAGUAGUUCUUCCUCAGACGUAGAGAUAAGCCGCUUGAGGAAUGAAUAAGCCCAGAGUAAGUUACCAUUCACCAAGAUCAACUGCGGGUUCUGGAACAGGCAUUAUAAAGGGCGGAUUUUUUAUGGUUGUCGCAAUCGGUGUAGGUUAUGCUGUAUAUAAGUAUCUUGGCUUUCGAGAUUACCUACUUGAUCGCAAAUCACGUCGCAUGGAGGUUACCGUCCAGAAGUAUCUUGCCAUGCAAGAAAAAAGCGACACGCGAUGCAAAUGUACUGGUAGCUGGUGUGAAUGCGAAAAUAAGGCUAGAGCGCGCUUGGUAGAACAAUAUCGACAACAACAAGAACAAACCCAACCCGCGUCGACCACACCGGCUUUAUGAACAGGGAUUGUGCUCUUAGUAAGAAGAAGGCUAAAACUUUGCUCAGCAGUUUCGCGUUGCUCUAUGUCAAUGUGUGACGGGAUUUGAAAUGAGAGGAAAAACUGCUUGACCUAUAUUGGAUUUUAAAGUGUAAUAGAUAUAUCAUGGAUAAUUAUUAAGAAAGGCGUGCCUUUAUACAUUUUUGAAACAGUAAAUAAAAGUAGUAGAAAAAGCUCGUAAUGGUGAAAAGCAGUGCGUCAUUUUGUAAGUUCAGCAAACAUAAGCUAUUAUAGAAUAUCUUCGCUCUAA
rnacentral:lncRNA from 1 species